rnacentral:rRNA from 1 species
GACGAACGCGGCGGCGUGCUUAACACAUGCAAGUCGAACGAAGAGCGAUGGAAGCUUGCUUCUAUCAAUCUUAGUGGCGAACGGGUGAGUAACGCGUAAUCAACCUGCCCUUCAGAGGGGGACAACAGUUGGAAACGACUGCUAAUACCGCAUACGAUCUAACCUCGGCAUCGAGGAAAGAUGAAAGGUGGCCUCUAUGUAUAAGCUAUCACUGAAGGAGGGGAUUGCGUCUGAUUAGCUAGUUGGAGGGGUAACGGCCCACCAAGGCGAUGAUCAGUAGCCGGUCUGAGAGGAUGAACGGCCACAUUGGGACUGAGACACGGCCCAGACUCCUACGGGAGGCAGCAGUGGGGAAUCUUCCGCAAUGGACGAAAGUCUGACGGAGCAACGCCGCGUGAGUGAUGACGGCCUUCGGGUUGUAAAGCUCUGUUAAUCGGGACGAAAGGCCUUCUUGCGAAUAG